GAUGAACGCUGGCGGCGCGCCUAACACAUGCAAGUCGAACGGCACCCCUCCUCGGAGGGCAGCGAGUGGCGAACGGCUGAGUAACACGUGGAGAACCUGCCCCCUCCCCCGGGAUAGCCGCCCGAAAGGACGGGUAAUACCGGAUACCCCGGGGUGCCGCAUGGCACCCCGGCUAAAGCCCCGACGGGAGGGGAUGGCUCCGCGGCCCAUCAGGUAGACGGCGGGGUGACGGCCCACCGUGCCGACAACGGGUAGCCGGGUUGAGAGACCGACCGGCCAGAUGGGGACUGAGACACGGCCCAGACGCCUACGGGAGGCAGCAGUGGGGAAUCUUGCGCAAUGGGGGGAACCCUGACGAAGCGACGCCGCGUGCGGGACGGAGGCCUUCGGGUCGUAAACCGCUUUCAGCAGGGAAGAGUCAAGACUGUACCUGCAGAAGAAGCCCCGGCUAACUACGUG
rnacentral:rRNA from 1 species